GCUGGCCGCCGCCGCGCUUUCCGCCUCGGCUGCUCGACCCCUUGGCCUAUAUAAGAGACCCCCGAGACCGCCUUGACCUCCACCAAAUUUCUCCUCACAACACCACCUCCGUUCGGGCUCUAGGGAGUCCGAAUUUCGUGACCGAAGUCUGCCGCCGUCCACAACUCCGGCGACGAUUCCGACGCCGGUAAAGCUCGGAGCAUCCAGGACAACAGGGAGCACGCCGGCGCUGCGGACGUUGCUCUGGUCGAUGUUCAACCUCGCCGGGACUAGCUGACCGUCGCAAGUACUUCGCCACGCCGAGCUGCACCUCCUUCGAGCCUUGCCUGACUCGUCCGACGUCCGCUGCCUCGACAUCGACCACGAUCGAGCUGUAGAAGCCAAACACACACAACCUACUAUUGUUCGGACUGCGAGUGCGAUACUCACGAAGAAGUAGGAGGUGCUGCUGCUG